CUACGAGGUCAUUGGCCUAAUUAUUGAAUAUAUGUCACAAGUGGCGUUUCAUGAACUAUCUGGUAUUUCAACUAACUGGUUUUGCAAUUCAGUCCUGAGACACCUUGUAUAUUCUGGUUGAGUACCAUGGGUUAGAGAAUUAUUUAUCGUUAUACCUCAAAACAUGAGUGAAAUCUAAUGGUGUGGUGCUUUUUCUUUUAAAAGAAUUCUCGAAUUGACCAAGAGAGAUAACAAGGAAGCUAUGGUGGUUCCUGGAUGAAAAGUUAAGAGACAUCUAAGCCCAAAGAAUUAGGUUCAGUGAAAAGCCGAACAGAAAAACUUCCAAGUUUAAAAGUGGAUAUUUACUAUGUAUCCAAGAGAAGAAAUGGAGUUUUUGUGAAUCACGGAUUUUUCCAUGGACCCUGACGGCUUCGGACGCUGAGAUGAUGUUUUUCGUUGACAGCAAGAAACCAGCGUGCGGAGUGCAAAAGGAGUUCAUGAAGUAACAUAAUUAAAACAAAUUUCUUGUUGAAUCAAAUUGAGUUGUAUUCGAUUGUAAAUAAAUGCUUUGGCUUUUCGGC